UGAGCAGAGGAUCCUCCUCCUGUCACCACUGCUAAAUCUCUCUGGCAACUGCAGCCCAUACUGGGAAGAAGCAGGGAGGCAAAACUGCUGAAGGGGUGCUGAAAAACAAUUCAGUAUCAAGCCAAAACUGCAGUGACUGUAGGUCUGCAUAUGUCUGUAUCACUGCUAUGUGACCUAAGUUUUCUUCUUGCAGCCUUCUGGUGAAACAUGUGGUAUCCAACAAAGCUCACACAUGGGAAAAUAAAGGGUCUGAGUGUGAGGACUGA